UCUCCGUUGGUGAACCAGCGGAGGGAUCAUUAUCGAGUUUAUAACUCCCAAACCCUAUGUGAACUUACCACUUGUUGCUUCGGCGCGCGCUUCGGCGCCGCCGAGGACACUUAAACUCUUUGUUUUUAUAGGCAUUUCUGAGUGGCCGAAAGGCAAAAUACAAAUGAAUCAAAACUUUCAACAACGGAUCUCUUGGUUCUG
rnacentral:misc_RNA from 1 species